GCAUGCAGCCAUAUUACUCUGUAUCUCACAACUAAGCAGGUGUGAGCCUGGUCAGUACCUGGAUGGGAGACCUCCUGGGAAAAACUAAGGUUGCUGCUGGAA
rnacentral:rRNA from 1 species